ACGAUGAAGCCUUUCGGGGUGGAUUAGUGGCGAACGGGUGAGUAACACGUGGGCAAUCUGCCCUUCACUCUGGGACAAGCCCUGGAAACGGGGUCUAAUACCGGAUAAUACUCCUGCCUGCAUGGGUGGGGGUUGAAAGCUCCGGCGGUGAAGGAUGAGCCCGCGGCCUAUCAGCUUGUUGGUGGGGUAAUGGCCUACCAAGGCGACGACGGGUAGCCGGCCUGAGAGGGCGACCGGCCACACUGGGACUGAGACACGGCCCAGACUCCUACGGGAGGCAGCAGUGGGGAAUAUUGCACAAUGGGCGAAAGCCUGAUGCAGCGACGCCGCGUGAGGGAUGACGGCCUUCGGGUUGUAAACCUCUUUCAGCAGGGAAGAAGCGCAAGUGACGGUACCUGCAGAAGAAGCGCCGGCUAACUACGUGCCAGCAGCCGCGGUAAUACGUAGGGCGCAAGCGUUGUCCGGAAUUAUUGGGCGUAAAGAGCUCGUAGGCGGCUUGUCACGUCGGAUGUGAAAGCCCGGGGCUUAACCCCGGGUCUGCAUUCGAUACGGGCUAGCUAGAGUGUGGUAGGGGAGAUCGGAAUUCCUGGUGUAGCGGUGAAAUGCGCAGAUAUCAGGAGGAACACCGGUGGCGAAGGCGGAUCUCUGGGCCAUUACUGACGCUGAGGAGCGAAAGCGUGG
rnacentral:rRNA from 1 species